UACAGAGGUCCCAAGCGUUGUUCGGAUUCAUUGGGCGUAAAGGGUGCGUAGGCGGGUCUUUAAGUCAGGGGUGAAAUCCUGGAGCUCAACUCCAGAACUGCCUUUGAUACUGAGGAUCUUGAGUUCGGGAGAGGUGAGUGGAACUGCGAGUGUAGAGGUGAAAUUCGUAGAUAUUCGCAAGAACACCAGUGGCGAAGGCGGCUCACUGGCCCGAUACUGACGCUGAGGCACGAAAGCGUGGGGGAGCAAACAGG
rnacentral:rRNA from 1 species